GUUCUGGUCGAUCAACAGAAGGGAGCAAAGGGGAUUGAACCCUAGUUUAUCAAAAAUCCACAAGAAUCAAGUGAAAUCUUGAGAAAAUCGAAAAUAUAAACAACGAAUUCUCAGCUCCUACAUCUGUUCUUCGAAGUGGCGUAAAGGAAGAGGGCUCAAGUACUAAGAAGUCGGAAGGCUCGCAGGAUCGAGGUAAAUCCUCACUUUUGGCGAUUUGGAGAUUUGGAGCGAGCAUGUGUCCAUGUCUUGUUAUACCAAACGCUUCCGCUAGCUUAUUCGCAUCUUUUUGGUCCAUGACUUGUUAUUUUGUCCAACUUUGUUAGUAGUCGUACAUUUGUAAAACUUGUUGUCUUCGUUUGUGGUGGUUUUAUGUCAAACGGAUCGUAGAAUAUUAUUUAGUGGAUCAAGUUAAAAACAGGGGGCAUGUUCGUUUUUCA